ACGGGAGGCAGCAGUGAGGAAUAUUGGUCAAUGGGCGGAAGCCUGAACCAGCCAAGUCGCGUGAAGGAUGAAGGUAUUAUGUAUUGUAAACUUCUUUAGCAGUGGAGUAAUAAGGGGAUCGUGAUCCCUGAUGCAAGUACACUGAAAAUAAGGAUCGGCUAACUCCGUGCCAGCAGCCGCGGUAAUACGGAGGAUCCGAGCGUUAUCCGGAUUUAUUGGGUUUAAAGGGUGCGCAGGCGGCUUUUUAAGUCAGCGGUAAAAUCGUGGGGCUCAACCCCAUCCUGCCGUUGAUACUGGAGAGCUUGAUUGCGGUUGAGGUUGGCGGAAUUCGUCGUGUAGCGGUGAAAUGCAUAGAUAUGUCACAGAACACCGAUUGCGAAGGCAGCUGACUAAUCCGCAACUGACGCUCAGGCACGAAAGCGUGGGGAUCGAACAGGAUUAGAUACCCUGGUA
rnacentral:rRNA from 1 species